rnacentral:rRNA from 1 species
ACGGAAGGCAGCAGUAGGGAAUAUUGCACAAUGGGGGAAACCCUGAUGCAGCAACGCCACGUGUGGGAAGAAGCAUUUCGGUGUGUAAACCACUGUCGUGAGGGAAUAAUGCUUAAUUUCGGUUAAGUUGAAUGUACCUCGAAAGGAAGCGCCGGCAAACUUCGUGCCAGCAGCCGCGGUAAUACGAGGGGUGCAAGCGUUGUUCGGAAUCACUGGGCGUAAAGGGAGCGCAGGCGGAGAUGCAAGCAGUCUGUACAAUACCGGGGCCCAACCCCGGACCUGCAGACUGGACUGUUUCUCUUGGAUAGUUCAGGGGCAGGCGGAAUUCCUGGUGUAGCGGUGGAAUGCGUAGAGAUCAGGAAGAACACCGAUGGCGAAGGCAGCCUGCUGGGGACUUAUCGACGCUGAGGCUCGAAAGUGCGGGUAGCAAACAGGAUUAGAUACCCUGGUA